UACGAAGGGGGCUAGCGUUGUUCGGAUUUACUGGGCGUAAAGCGCACGUAGGCGGAUUGGUCAGUUAGGGGUGAAAUCCUGGAGCUCAACUCCAGAACUGCCUUUAAUACUGCCAGUCUCGAGUCCGGAAGAGGUAAGUGGAACUCCUAGUGUAGAGGUGGAAUUCGUAGAUAUCGGAAAGAACACCAGUGGCGAAGGGACGGCCGCACC
rnacentral:rRNA from 1 species